GACGAACGCUGGCGGCGUGCCUAAUACAUGCAAGUAGAACGCUGAAGGAGGAGCUUGCUUCUCUGGAUGAGUUGCGAACGGGUGAGUAACGCGUAGGUAACCUGCCUGGUAGCGGGGGAUAACUAUUGGAAACGAUAGCUAAUACCGCAUAAUAGUAGAUGUUGCAUGACAUUUGCUUAAAAGGUGCAAUUGCAUCACUACCAGAUGGACCUGCGUUGUAUUAGCUAGUUGGUGAGGUAACGGCUCACCAAGGCGACGAUACAUAGCCGACCUGAGAGGGUGAUCGGCCACACUGGGACUGAGACACGGCCCAGACUCCUACGGGAGGCAGCAGUAGGGAAUCUUCGGCAAUGGACGGAAGUCUGACCGAGCAACGCCGCGUGAGUGAAGAAGGUUUUCGGAUCGUAAAGCUCUGUUGUAAGAGAAGAACGAGUGUGAGAGUG
rnacentral:rRNA from 1 species